UUAUAUUAUUUAUUCACUUUUCAUAAUUCUGUUGUCUUUUCUGUACAGUUUCGAUAUUAAAGGAAACAUAAAAAUGAUCAGAUAAAAUGCAUGGAAUGCAUCCUGGACUUUAAGAGUGAUGACUAAUAAAAUUAGUGGAGCAACAUUGGAAUUCCUCAGAUCCAAGAAAAAGCACUCAUAUUCCAUUCAUUUUGCAAUGUUAUCAGAGACUGUUACAAACGAUUGCAGUACUCGAGGCUCAGCGCACUCAAGCAGUCCAAGAUCUUGAGAGUUUAGGCAGACAUCAGAGAGAAGCACUGAAAGAUCCCAUUGGAUUUGUGGAAAGUCUCCAGAAGAAGGUAUAACAAUGGGAAUCUUCUCAUAAGGGAUUUUUGAGAACUGAUACUUCAUCUCCUGCAGUUAGUGAGAC
rnacentral:lncRNA from 1 species